rnacentral:ribozyme from 1 species
UAAUAAUACACACAGACUGUCGUCGUUUAAUUAAUAUAAUUAAUUAUUUAACCGACAGCGUCUCAUUUCUCCCGGAAAUUAAUAUAAUUAAUUAUUUAAUUGCGUC